rnacentral:rRNA from 1 species
GACGAACGCUGGCGGCGUGCCUAAUACAUGCAAGUAGAACGCUGAAGCGAGGAGCUUGCUCUUCUUGGAUUAGUUGCGAACGGGUGAGUAACGCGUAGGUAACCUGCCUUUUAGCGGGGGAUAACUAUUGGAAACGAUAGCUAAUACCGCAUAACAAUUUAUGACACAUGUCAUUUAUUUGAAAGGGGCAAUUGCUCCACUACAAGUUUGACCUGCGUUUGAUUAGCUAGUAGGUGAGGUAAUGGCUCACCUAGGCGACGAUAGAUAGCCGACCUGAGAGGGUGAUCGGCCACACUGGGACUGAGACACGGCCCAGACUCCUACGGGAGGCAGCAGGAGGGGAUCUUCGGGAAUGGGGGCAAAGCUGAACGGGGAAAGCCGGCGGAGGGAAGAAGGUUUUCGGAUCGUAAAGAUCUGUUGUAAGUCAAGAACGGGUGUGAGAGUGGAAAGUUCACACUGUGACGGUAGCUUAUCAGAAAGGGACGGCUAACUACGUG